AGCGAACGCUGGCGGCAGGCCUAACACAUGCAAGUCGAACGGAUCCUUCGGGAUUAGUGGCGGACGGGUGAGUAACACGUGGGAACGUGCCCUUUGGUUCGGAACAACUCAGGGAAACUUGAGCUAAUACCGGAUGUGCCCUUCGGGGGAAAGAUUUAUCGCCAUUGGAGCGGCCCGCGUCUGAUUAGCUAGUUGGUGAGGUAAAGGCUCACCAAGGCGACGAUCAGUAGCUGGUCUGAGAGGAUGAUCAGCCACAUUGGGACUGAGACACGGUCCAAAGUCCUACGGGAGGCAGCAGUGGUGAAUAUUGCGCAAUGGGCGAAAGCCUGACGCAGCCAUGCCGCGUGAAUGAUGAAGGUCUUAGGAUUGUAAAAUUCUUUCACCGGGGACGAUAAUGACGGUACCCGGAGAAGAAGCCCCGGCUAACUUCGUGCCAGCCGCCGCCGUAAAAC
rnacentral:rRNA from 1 species